GGGCUCGCAGGCGGUUUCUUAAGUCUGAUGUGAAAGCCCCCGGCUCAACCGGGGAGGGUCAUUGGAAACUGGGAAACUUGAGUGCAGAAGAGGAGAGUGGAAUUCCACGUGUAGCGGUGAAAUGCGUAGAGAUGUGGAGGAACACCAGUGGCGAAGGCGACUCUCUGGUCUGUAACUGACGCUGAGGAGCGAAAGCGUGGGGAGCGAACAGGAUUAGAUACCCUGGUAGUCCACGCCGUAAACGAUGAGUGCUAAGUGUUAGGGGGUUUCCGCCCCUUAGUGCUGCAGCUAACGCAUUAAGCACUCCGCCUGGGGAGUACGGUCGCAAGACUGAAACUCAAAGGAAUUGACGGGGGCCCGCACAAGCGGUGGAGCAUGUGGUUUAAUUCGAAGCAACGCGAAGAACCUUACCAGGUCUUGACAUCCUCUGACAACCCUAGAGAUAGGGCUUUCCCUUCGGGGACAGAGUGACAGGUGGUGCAUGGUUGUCGUCAGCUCGUGUCGUGAGAUGUUGGGUUAAGUCCCGCAACGAGCGCAACCCUUGAUCUUAGUUGCCAGCAUUCAGUUGGGCACUCUAAGGUGACUGCCGGUGACAAACCGGAGGAAGGUGGGGAUGACGUCAAAUCAUCAUGCCCCUUAUGAC
rnacentral:rRNA from 1 species